rnacentral:rRNA from 1 species
AUGAACGCUGGCGGCGUGCUUAACACAUGCAAGUCGAACGAAGCACCUUGAUUUGAUUCUUCGGAUGAAGAUCUUGGUGACUGAGUGGCGGACGGGUGAGUAACGCGUGGGUAACCUGCCUCAUACAGGGGGAUAACAGUUAGAAAUGACUGCUAAUACCGCAUAAGACCACAGCACCUCAUGGUGCAGGGGUAAAAACUCCGGUGGUAUGAGAUGGACCCGCGUCUGAUUAGGUAGUUGGUGGGGUAACGGCCUACCAAGCCGACGAUCAGUAGCCGACCUGAGAGGGUGACCGGCCACAUUGGGACUGAGACACGGCCCAAACUCCUACGGGAGGCAGCAGUGGGGAAUAUUGCACAAUGGGGGAAACCCUGAUGCAGCGACGCCGCGUGAGCGAUGAAGUAUUUCGGUAUGUAAAGCUCUAUCAGCAGGGAAGAAAAUGACGGUACCUGACGAAGAAGCACCGGCUAAAUACGUG